AUACAUCAACAUAUCAAAAGAUGACAACCUUACUCUCAACCUCUCUUUGAACUAAUACAUCAACAAUCAUCUUAUUUAUCUGAUAAUUAUCAUCAUAACUGCAACAAAAAAGAAUCACAUGUGACUCCGUCCAGAUUGCAGAUGAAUAUCAAUAGCGACAAACAAGUCUGGAGAUUCAAUGUUAGGCAUUAUUGAUACAUAAUGGGAAGAGACGUUAUUAUUUCAAUUUCAAUGAUUUGGGUAACUGAUUGGCUUGAUUUUCGGGUCGUUUUUGUUUCACUAUCCAAGGAUUUAGGUAGAGUUAAGCAUUAUAUUGCUAACUUUCCUAAUCACUUUAAAUUAUCAAAGCCAAAUUAAAUUUGGCAUCCACUUGCUGAUACACGACUUUAGUCAAAAUACUGGUUGUAAAAUUGGUCUUGAUUGACAACGUUGAUACAUUAAGCUAACAUUUAACUUGUCAUAACAUUUAGUAUUUUCACUUAAUUAAGACAUGUUGCUCUAUCCUGGGUCAAUUUGAGCA